UAUUCUAUUCUACUCUACUCUACUCUACUCUACUCUACUCUAUUCUGCUCUACUCUACUUUAUUCUACUCUACGCUACGCUACACUAUUAUACUCUACUCUAAUCUACUCUAUUCUACACUUUUUUACUCUACUCUAUUCUACUAUUUGUACUAUUUCUACUACUCUGUUCAACACAAUUCUACUCUAUUCUACCCUAUUCCACACUAUUCUACUCUACUCUAUUCUACUAUUUAUACUGUUUCUACUACUCUAUUCUCACAAUUCUACUCUAUUCUACUCUAUUCUGCUCUUCCUUUUCUACUCUACUCUAUUCUAGUCUAUUCUAUUCUAAUCUGCUCUAUUCUACUAUAUUCUGACUACUCUACUCUAUUCUAAUUUAUUAGAGUCUAUUCUACUCUACUCUAUUCUACUUUAUUAUAGUUUAUUCUACUAUAUUCUAUUCUACUUUAUUCCACUCUAUUCUACUAUACUGUACUCUAUUGGCCCUCCAGAUCGAUAGCUCAAACAGAACACUGCUCUAUCUUUCUGUAGGAUUUAAAACAACUCCCAUUCCUGGGGUUACAGGGGAAUGCGUACUCUAUUGACAUCACAAACAACCACACCAUCGAUUUAGUAGAUAUUUGUUGUCAGUGUAUAGUCUUCCGUAAUGUGCACAUUACCCAGGCUGGACUUCCUGUAGUGAGACCUUGGACAUUGAUAUUCUAUUGCUCCCAGCACCAGUGGAGUCUUGUCUACGGUGCGGACUGAAGAGGGAUGACCUUUCCCAGAAUGCAUUGCCAGUCACACUAACAGCCCUCAAUCAGUCAAUCAAAUAGUCCUUGAUAAGAUAUCCUGGUCGAUAAAAAAAAUUGAGUAUUCCAUAAUGUUCUCAGAGAAAGACUGCAAAUUGUCUCUGAAUAUAUGAGAUUUUACAUCAAUCAGAAAUGUGGCUACACUCGGUGACAUCAUAGUAGCAAAAGUGUAAUUAUUGAAUGACCAUAGUGCUGAACCUUGUUACCUCUCCAUUAUUUAAUUACAGUCAAUUAGUCAAUCUUCCAUUACACGGCUGUGAUGAGAGACCGUGAGACGUCUGAUCCGAUCAAACCAUUGAUCAGAGAGAAGACACCGACUGCACAAUCUAAGAAAAAUAAAUAGGAAGAUUUCUCAUGCCAGUGCAAUUACGACUGACAUUUUGAAUGAUAUAACUCAACUGAAGCUCACUAAAAACAUCCCUAUGUGGGACCAUCGUAUCAUCCGUCUAUAUCCCAGCAGGCAGUGUCAGGGGCUCAGGUCUCUCUAUGGCCCAGAGCAGCCAAUCGUUUCCCCUCCCCCCUCUCCACUCCUCGGGCCGUGUCCAUCGGCCUGAGCAUGAGAACAGGGAUCCAUGCUGAGGUAAUUUGUUUCAAUCAAUUAAACCGACAUCCGCUUGCAUUAAACUCCAAUAACCCUGUCUGUACCUCACACAGCUCUCUCUCUCUCUGCAGUAACACGGUAGUCAUAGAACAGACCAAGGGCUCUCCAUUUUACACGGGAUACAUCAUUAAUUACUCAUUAUUUUAGAUCAUAAACAUAUUUUUUCUCAAAGUACAAUUUAGGUUCAGAUUCCUAUUGUGUUUUUGUAAUAAUUAAUUCAACAUGGGAUAAAUUAAAUGUAACAACGCGGAUAGAAAACAGGUUCACUGAUUAGAGGAGCCCAUAGGCUAUUGUUUUGAAUGUUUAUGUGAGGGGGGAAAGUGUAGGCCUACAGUAUGCUGGUAGAAUAGCGUAUAGUUCAAGUCCCCAGAAUAGUCCACAGCUUGUAAUGAUGUUCAGUACAGAUUCUGGUCAUUACUCCACAGCGUGAACUAGCUAUGCUAACUGGAAAUGAACACGUGGGCUAAUUACAAUUCAGUGGAGCUGCAAGAGGAGGUGUUUAAAGGAACGAGGUCACUCUGAUGGCAGACAGCAUCCUCUCUGAAGGAACGAGGUCACUCUGAUGGCAGACAACAUCCUCUCAAAGGAACGAGGUCACUGUGAUGGCAGACAACAUCCUCUCUGAAGGAACGAGGUCACUCUGAUGGCAGACAGCAUCCUCUC
rnacentral:lncRNA from 1 species